AAUCCAAAGAUUCAGUGACUUAAGGGAGUCAAAGUUUAUUUCUUGUUUCACAGGAAGGUACAGAUGGAUGGCUGUCCCUGGCAGCUCUCUCUGACCAUGUGGGCUCCUUUCACUGGGCACAACUUGGAGUCAAUUGCUUGCAGUUUUGUAGAUGAAGAAGAGAAAGCAAAAAGGACAUCGGGAUCUUACAUGACCAGGCUGAAAGGAGGCACCUACCUUUUGCCUCUAUUCAAUCUGUCAGAAGUCUGUGGUGUGACCAACCCGACUGCAAAGAAGCUACUGGAGGAAAUGUUUCAUUAAAAUGAGACUAUACCAAGAAUAGAAGACAUAGGAUCCAGGAAACAGGGCAUCCUGAAGGAAAAAACACUUAAAGAACUAUCCCUGGAAGAAAAAUGGACUGGAUGAACUAUGUAACAGUUUUGACAAAAUGGAAGAUUAUACUCUUAAGUGUUUUAUAGAGCUAUUCAAGGUGUGGGAAGAACAAGCCAGUGAACAGAUGGAAAAAAAAAGAGGCAAUAACUCCAGAUAGAGCAGAUAUAUAAAAGAAAGUUACAUAUAAAUAUAUAUCUGCUAUAACUGGGAUUUACCUGUAUUUAGUAGACAAGGGAAAAAAGAAUAAGGGGCCUGAGAAAGAAUUCCAUUUAUUAAAAUAGAUGAUAUCAGGGAAGGAAGAUCCACUAUCAGUUAUUUGUACCUUAGUGUAGCUCAUUAUAAGGAAUGAUGUUAAUGUUGAAGAAUAUCAACAAAUUAGAAUUGCAGAGUUAGUGUCAUUGCAAACCUAUUAAUCAAUUAUGUCUAAUAUAUAAAGAACAUUAAAGUGAACUUUGGGGUACCUGGUGGUUCAGUCAGUUAAGCAUCCGACUUGGUUUUGGCUCAGGUCAUGAUCUCAGGGUCCUGGAUCGAGCCCCAUGCCAGGCUCCCUGCUCAGUAGGGUAUCUGCUUCUCCCUUUGCCUUCUCAAUAAAUAAAUUUUUUUAUUUAUUACUUCUCAAAUAAAUAAAUUUUUUUAACAAAAGUUUUAAAAUGAAUUUAUAUGGCAGAAAUUUUGUAAUCUGACCUUUCUU
rnacentral:lncRNA from 1 species